AAAGUUGAGAAGCAGUGUCUUAGCACAAACUAAGCUAUUUUCAAAAUUUAGACAUGAGUAAAAAUAAGAAAUAGGAUCGGAGUUAGGGAGUCAAGCUAGUCUCAGCAAUGGCAUAGAGGAAAAGAAGGAAGCUGACGAUCACAGUACUUUUAAAAGCUGAGUCCUUCCUAUGCUCCGGGCACCUCGCUGGGUUCUUAGCAAAAACUAACUCCUUUGAUUUCCACAACAGACCUGUAAAUUAACAACAGUUUAUGUCCUCAUUUUUAGAUUGUUGAUGUACAGUGGUGAAGUAACCAAGAGGCACUCAGGCAGUAAGUGGGAGGGCCAGUGCACCACCCCAGAUCUUCUGCUCAGAGACCACAUCUAGAUCAUUACCAACCACUCCAGGCCAGGUACAAACACCCAACAGAGAACUUUCAACUCAAAUUCCCCUGAGCCAUUCAACAGGGCCUUCUCUUCAGGAACUUCAUCCUCUCCGGCUCGACAAAAACCCUUCACAGAAGUAAUCAUCCCAACUUGCAGAAGAGGGAGCUAAAGUUCAGAGAAGUUGAGUGAACUCAAGGAAAUCAUCCUACUGGUGGAAGCAGGAUCCCAACUCAGAUCUGGGUGUCGUGAAACCGUUCUUUAACAGCUCUCACCUACCUGCCUUUCUGGUAUUUGUCCAAGCAUGUAGGAAAUACCAACUAAACCACUACGCUAGUUGUGGAAAUUCAUAUCUUGUUGAAUGAAUGUAUGCUGUUGCUCCUUCCUCUUGUCUGAUCCCCAAAUCCAUGAAUUCACCGACUUACCUACAACCUACCAGCCUGUGAACAUCAUAUCGGCACCUCAAACUCAACAAACUUGCCCCAGACCGCUCCUCCUGGUCCGGGGUUGGCUAUCUCAGAGAAUGUUCCACAAUUGGCCUGAUCAUUAGGAGUCAGAAAACAGGAAGUCAGUUCUUUCUCCCAGUGCCCUGCGGCCACCACCCUGGUUCUCUGGACUCCGCACAUCGCCUCUUACCUUCCUCCUGUCUAUUCUCUUCAAAAGGCUUGUUGUACCUGUUGUGUCAAACAGUGGAAUGGCUCCUAGCGGGAAAGGAUGGCAUAAAAUCCAAAAUCCUUCCUCAGCGUACACAGCCCAGCAGGGUCCGGCCCCUCCCUGGCCCCGCAGCCCCAUCUCCCACACUCUUGGCUCUGUGCGUGUCUGUCACAGACAGCCUUUCUACACUGCCCCAAAGCCACUGUAUUUCUUCCAGUCUCAGGUUCGGGGCAUUUGAAUAAUUAAUGAUUCCCCACCCGAUUUCGUUUUCCCCGUGGUUCUUAGUGUCUUCUAAGCUAUUUUAUAACUUAUGGUAUCGUUGCUUAUUGUCUGUCUCCCUACACUGGAAUAUAAGUUCCCCUACAACAGAGGCUAUCAUCCAUUUCAUUCACUAGAACCCCGAGCAAUGUCUGGGUCCUCCUGCUUAACAAACAGCUGUUGAAUAAAUUAUUUCAUUCACUUUUAUGUAUGUCACUUAGA